GAUGAAGAACGUAGCGAAAUGCGAUAAGUAAUGUGAAUUGCAGAAUUCAGUGAAUCAUCGAAUCUUUGAACGCACAUUGCGCCCGCCAGUAUUCUGGCGGGCAUGCCUGUCCGAGCGUCAUUUCAACCCUCGAACCCCUCCGGGGGUCCGGCGUUGGGGAUCGGGAACCCCUAAGACGGGAUCCCGGCCCCGAAAUACAGUGGCGGUCUUGCCGCAGCCUCUCAUGCGCAGUAGUUUGCACAACUCGCACCGGGAGCGCGGCGCGUCCACGUCCGUAAAACACCCAACUUCUGAAAUGUUGACCUCGGAUCAGGUAGGAAUACCCGCUGAACUUAAGCAUAUCAAUAAGCGGAGGA
rnacentral:misc_RNA from 1 species